AGAAUCAACGCUGGCGGCGCGCUUAACACAUGCAAGUCGCACGAGAAAGGGAGCAAUCCUGAGUACAGUGGCGUACGGGUGAGUAACACGUGACUACCUACCCUCGAGUGGGGAAUAACCUCGGGAAACCGGGGCUAAUACCGCAUAACAUCUACGGAUCAAAUGCGAAAGCAGCUUGAGGAGGGGGUCGCGGCCGAUUAGCUAGUUGGCGAGGUAAUGGCCCACCAAGGCAAUGAUCGGUAGCCGGCCUGAGAGGGCGCACGGCCACACUGGAACUGAAACACGGUCCAGACUCCUACGGGAGGCAGCAGUGGGGAAUUUUGCGCAAUGGGGGAAACCCUGACGCAGCAACGCCGCGUGGAGGAUGAAGCCCCUUGGGGUGUAAACUCCUUUCGAUCGGGACGAUUAUGACGGUACCGGAAGAAGAAGCACCGGCUAACUCUGUGCCAGCAGCCGCGGUAAUACAGAGGGUGCAAGCGUUGUUCGGAAUUAUUGGGCGUAAAGGGUGCGUAGGCGGUGCGGUAAGUCUCUUGUGAAAUCUCCAGGCUCAACCUGGAGCCUGCAAGGGAAACUGCCGUGCUUGAGUGUGGGAGAGGUGAGUGGAAUUCCCGGUGUAGCGGUGAAAUGCGUAGAUAUCGGGAGGAACACCUGUGGCGAAAGCGGCUCACUGGACCACAACUGACGCUGAUGCACGAAAGCUAGGGGAGCAAACAGGAUUAGAUACCCUGGUAGUCCUAGCCCUAAACGAUGAUCGCUUGGUGUGACAGGUACCCAAUCCUGUCGUGCCGGAGCUAACGCGUUAAGCGAUCCGCCUGGGGAGUACGGUCGCAAGGCUGAA
rnacentral:rRNA from 1 species